AGAAGCAAUCAAUCGAGGGAUUCUCUGCUAUCCCACAUUUUCCCCCCCGAGAGUUUUUCUGCCAGUCACGACGAUAUAAAACGACGUGCACUGAUUGCCUUAGUAACUGCGAGUGAAGCGGCAAAAGCUCAAAUUUGAAAUCUGGCGUCUUCGGCGUCCGAGUUGUAAUUUGGAGAGAUUUCUUCGGGGUGAACAUCGGUCCAAGUUCCUUGGAACAGGACGUCACAGAGGGUGAGAAUCCCGUGUCUGACCGGUUGCUUCAUUCCAUGUGAAGAGUCUUCGACGAGUCGAGUUGUUUGGGAAUGCAGCUCAAAAUGGGUGGUAAAUUUCAUCUAAAGCUAAAUAUUGGCGAGAGACCGAUAGCGCACAAGUAGAGUGAUCGAAAGAUGAAAAGCACUUUGAAAAGAGAGUUAAAAAGUACGUGAAAUUGUUGAAAGGGAAGCGCUUGAGACCAGACUCAAUUUGUGGUGAACAUCAGUCCUUCUGGGCUGUGCACUUGCCACUUUUUGGGCCAGCAUCGGUUCUGACCGUGUGAUAAAGGUCCUGGGAAUGUAGCUCCUCUCGGGGAGUGUUAUAGCCCAGGGCGUAAUGACAUGAGUUGGGACCGAGGACCGCGCUUCGGCUAGGAUGCUGGCAUAAUGGUCUUUAGCGACCCGUCUUGAAACACGGACCAAGGAGUCUAACAUCUAUGCGAGUGUUCGGGUGGAAAACCCUUGCGCGUAAUGAAAGUGAACGGAGGUGGGAACCCCUCGGGGUGCACCAUCGACCGAUCCUGAUGUUCUCGGAUGGAUUUGA
rnacentral:rRNA from 1 species